rnacentral:rRNA from 1 species
UACGUAGGUGGCAAGCGUUGUCCGGAUUUACUGGGCGUAAAGAGCGCGCAGGCGGUCGUUCAAGUCGCGUGUGAAAGCCCCCGGCUCAACUGGGGAGGGUCACGCGAUACUGAUCGACUCGAAGGCAGGAGAGGGUAGUGGAAUUCCCGGUGUAGUGGUGAAAUGCGUAGAUAUCGGGAGGAACACCAGUGGCGAAGGCGGCUUUCUGGCCUGUUCUUGACGCUGAGGCGCGAAAGCUAGGGGA